GCAAAUCUCAGUUGGUAGAACAUGAGACUCUUAAUUUCAGGGUUGUGGGUUCAAGCCCCACGUUGGGCA